GGUUGGAUCAUUACUGAAUGGCUUUUCACUUGGGACUUGUUCCCUUGGGAAAUUUCAUCCACAACCCCCCUCAUAGCAAUAUGAGGGGGUAGACCUCCUUGCGGUAACGUAAAGGGGUCAACCACCUUGCAGUAAUGUGAAGUGGUGUGUAACCAUAUUUGUACCCGCUACGGUCCUAGAGUGGGCACCCAGUACCUGAUCCGAUGCAUAUGCGGCUAGGGGAAAGGUGUUCUGGGCCGUUAGCACCUAUGACCAUACUAUGUUUAAUUUUGUUAACACGUAAACCCAGUCCAACCAAGUGAGCCCGGCUUGCCGGGCUCUGUGAACCUAUUUUGUACCGCCAGCCAACUAGUUCGGCAUUGGGUUUUCCCAAUAUUGGAUCAAGUAGCUGGCACCGCUGUCAACUUGUUCGGGAUACCAGGCUGUACUGGUAGCGGAAUAGGUUGGCUAGCAAUGUGUAUGACCACACCAUGUUUUAAUUUUGUUAAACCGUAAACCCAACUCAGAGGCUCAAUGAGUCUUUGUUAAAAAAUACAACUUUUGACAAUGGAUCUCUUGGCUCUCGCAUCGAUGAAGAACGUAGCGAAUUGCGAUAACUAAUGUGAAUUGCAGAUUCAGUGAAUCAUCGAAUUUUUGAACGCAUAUUGCACUCUUUGGUAUUCCGAAGAGUAUGCUUGUUUGAGAACCGUUUGUACUCCUCCGGACUUGUCUAGGUGCUAUCGCAUGGCGGUAGGUAAAACGCCGAUUCAGGUCUGGGACUUGGUUGUUUCUAUGCUGCCUUUAUUGGCAAUAUAGUCAACUUAAAUAUAGUACUCUGGUAUUUUGGUGUUGUCAGAUAAUUCUGCAGACUUGUGUGCCUUUUGAGAUAAUUGGGUCCCUCUUUUGGGUCUUGUUAUAGUCAAGGUUUGUUCAAACAUGAGUCUGUUUUUGAAUUGCUCUAAUGUCCAAAUAUUAUACCGAGUUGUUUUUAUAACUUGCCAGGCACCGUAUGAGUCUCUCGUAGACUUGGUGAAUACCUGAACACUUGGUCUCAAAUCAAGCAAGAGAACCCGCUGAACUUAAGCAUAUCAAUAAGCGGAGGAAAAGAAACCAACAGGGAUUCCCCUAGUAACGGCGAGUGAAGAGGGAAAAGCUCAAUUUUGAAAUCUCACAGGUUUCCUGUGCGAAUUGUAGUUUCUAGAAACGUCUUCGGGGGUGCUUUGUGUGCAAGUCCGCUGGAAAGCGGCACCAUAGAGGGUGAUAGUCCCGUGGCGCGCUGAGUUUACCCCUGUGUGAUACGUUUUCGACGAGUCGGAUAGUUUGAGAAUGCUGUCCAAAAUGGGUGGUAAAUACCAUCUAAAGCUAAAUACCGGCGAGAGACCGAUAGCAAACAAGUACCGUGAGGGAAAGAUGAAAAGAACUUUGAAAAGAGAGUUAAAUAGUACGUGAAAUUGUCAAAAGGGAAACGCUUGAUACCAGUAUUGGAUCGCGUGAAUCAGCCGAAAGGUGCACUUUACGCGUAUCCGGGUCAACACCAGUUUGGGUAGGAGUUGAAUCCUUGAGGAAGGUAGCUUUAUGUGUUAUAGCCUCUUGGGAUGCUUCGGCCCGGACUGAGGUCUGUAGCUUUGUUAUCGGAGUUUGGGUCUGUCUUGGACGCGGUUAGGCAAACAACUUGUUGAUUGCUUGAUUUGCCAAGGGACAGUUCCAAUUUUCCAGUCUGAGCUUUGGAUGUUGACGAAAUGGUCUCAAACGACCCGUCUUGAAACACGGACCAAGGAGUCCAACACAUGCGCGAGUGUUUGGGUGUUUAAACCCGAGCGCGAAAUGAAAGUAAAUGUAGGUGGGAUCCCGCAAGGGUGCACCAUCGACCGGUCUGGAUUCUUUUGAAAGAUCUGAGUAUGAGCGCAUGUGUUGGGACCCGAAAGAUGGUGAACUAUGCCUGAAUAGGGUGAAGUCAGAGGAAACUCUGAUGGAAGCUCGUAGCGGUUCUGACGUGCAAAUCGAUCGUCAAAUUUGGGUAUAGGGGCGAAAGACUAAUCGAACCAUCUAGUAGCUGGUUCCCUC
rnacentral:misc_RNA from 1 species